UUUUAGUAGAGACGGAGUUUCACCAUGUUGGCCAGGCUGGUUUUGAACUCCUGACCUCAAGUGAUCCGCCCGCCUAGGCCUCCCAAAGUGCUGGGAUUACAGGCGUGAGCCACUGCGCCUGGCCAGGUCUGAGAUCUUGCUGGAGCCUGUACCUUCUUUGUUCAAAACUCUCCUUUUGGUUCAGUUUCUCAGAGGGUUGGGCCACUCUCUCCUCCCUG
rnacentral:lncRNA from 10 species